rnacentral:rRNA from 1 species
AAUCAACGCUGGCGGCGUGCCUAACACAUGCAAGUCGAACGCGAAAGUCCCGCAAGGGAUAAGUAGAGUGGCAAACGGGUGAGUAACACGUGGGUGACCUGCCUUCGAGUGGGGGAUAACGUCCCGAAAGGGACGCUAAUACCGCAUGAUAUCCUGCCUUUGAAGAGGUGGAGAUCAAAGCUGGGGAUCGCAAGACCUAGCGCUCAAAGAGGGGCCCGCGCCUGAUUAGCUAGUUGGUGGGGUAAUGGCUCACCAAGGCAACGAUCAGUAUCCGGCCUGAGAGGGCGGACGGACACACUGGGACUGAGACACGGCCCAGACUCCUACGGGAGGCAGCAGUGGGGAAUUGUUCGCAAUGGGCGCAAGCCUGACGACGCAACGCCGCGUGGAGGAUGAAGAUCUUCGGGUCGUAAACUCCUUUCGAUCGAGACGAAUGGCCUCGGGUGAACAAUCCGGAGGAGUGACGGUACCGAGAGAAGAAGCCCCGGCUAACUCCGUGCCA